rnacentral:rRNA from 1 species
AUUGAACGCUGGCGGCAUGCCUUACACAUGCAAGUCGAACGGCAGCACGGGAGCAAUCCUGGUGGCGAGUGGCGAACGGGUGAGUAAAGUAUCGGAACGUGCCCAGUCGUGGGGGAUAAUGUAGCGAAAGUUACGCUAAUACCGCAUACGAUCUAUGGAUGAAAGCGGGGGAUCGCAAGACCUCGCGCGAUUGGAGCGGCCGAUAUCAGAUUAGGUAGUUGGGGGGGUAAAGGGUCACCAAGCCGAGGAUCUGUAGCGGGUCUGAGAGGACGACCAGCCACACGGGGAGUGAGGCACGGCCGAGACUCCGACAGGAGGAAGCAGUGGGGAAUUUUGGAGAAUGGGAGAAAGCCUGAUCCAGCCAUGCCGCGUGCAGGAUGAAGGCAUUCGGGUUGUAAACUGCUUUUGUACGGAGCGAAAAGGUUUGGCCUAAUAAGCUGAGCUCAUGACGGUACCGUAAGAAUAAGCACCGGCUAACUACGUGCCAGCCGCCGCCGUAA